UGAAUACGAGACGCUAAGGCGUCGAAGUAGUGUAUAUCAGACUUCCAAGAAAAGCUUGCACUGUCAUAGAUAAAAAAUGCCUGUACCAUAACCGACACAGGUGGGUAGGUAGAGUAUACUAAGGGGCGCGAGAUAACUCUCUCUAAGGAACUCGGCAAAAUAACUCCGUAACUUCGGGAGAAGGAGUGCCUUAUUUAUAAGGUUGCAAUAACAAGAUCCAAGCAACUGUUUAUCAAAAUCACAGGUCUCCGCUAAGUCGUAAGACGAUGUAUGGGGGCUGACGCCUGCCCAGUGCCAGAAGGUUAAAGAAGUUGGUUAGCAAUUGCGAAGCUGAUAACUGAAGCCCUGGUGAACGGCGGCCGUAACAAUAACGGUCCUAAGGUAGCGAAAUUCCUUGUCGGGUAAGUUCCGACCCGCACGAAAGGCGUAAUGAUUUGGAUACUGUCUCGGAGAGGGGCUCGGUGAAAUAGACUUGUCUGUGAAGAUGCGGACUACCUGCACCAGGACAGAAAGACCCUAUGAAGCUUUACUGUAACUUGAAAUUGAAAUUGGACUUUAUUCGCGCAGCAUAGGUGGGAGGCGUUGAUUAUAAUCUUGCGGGAUUAUUGGAGCCAUCAGUGAGAUACCACUCUUGUAAUGUUAGAUUUCUAACUUUGAAUCAUUAUCUGGUCAAAGAACAGUUUCAGGCGGGCAGUUUGACUGGGGCGGUCGCCUCCUAAAUGGUAACGGAGGCGUACAAAGGUUUCCUCUGAACGGUUAGAAAUCGUAUCUAGAGUGUAAAGGCAUAAGGAAGCUUGACUGUGAGACCUACAAGUCGAGCAGGGACGAAAGUCGGUCUUAGUGAUCUGACGGUACUGAGUGGAAAGGCCGUCACUCAACGGAUAAAAGUUACUCUAAGGAUAACAGGCUGAUCUCCCCCAAGAGUUCACAUCGACGGGGAGGUUUGGCACCUCGAUGUCGGCUCAUCGCAUCCUGGGGCGGUAGUACGUCCCAAGGGUUGGGCUGUUCGCCCAUGAAAGCGGUACGCGAGCUGGGUUCAGAACGUCGUGAGACAGUUCGGUCCAUAUCCGGUGUAGGCGUUAGAAUAUUGAGAGGAGCCUUUCUUUAGUACGAGAGGACCGAGAAGGACAUACCUCUGGUGUACCAGUUAUCGUGCCAACGGUAAACGCUGGGUAGCUAUGUAUGGAGUGGAUAACCGCUGAAAGCAUCUAAGUGGGAAGCCCACCUCAAGAUAAGUAUUCUCAU
rnacentral:rRNA from 1 species